UCAAUUACUGCACUCGACUUUCAGCUGAGGAACCUGAAGUAGGCCUUGAUCCAGAAUAAUAUUAAAAAAAUAAAUAAUAAAAACAACAACUUUUUUUUGACGGACAUGGAUACGAGACGUCUAAAGGACCAACCUGCAGAAAAGCAGGCGGGGAUCCUGAUCCAGAUAAAGGGAGUCCGCAAAUCUUCUCGAACAGACUUGCCACCCAAACGCCGUUGAUACUCCCCUGCUGCUCUACUGCCACCAAGGAGAGAGGGGUAAGAAUGGGGAAAUGAUGGCGUUCUUCUCUUUGAGUCCCACAGUCGCCCAGUGAGCAGCCUGGCUUUCCCCAGGGCGCAUUCCACACAGCUGCUGAGUCUCAGCUACGACAGAUCCCUGCGCUGCAUGGAUGUGGAAAAAGCUGUCUUCGACGAUGGAGGUGAGCAUUUAUGACAUUUGAAGUCUGAAAAAGAAUAAAAGCCGGCCUGUCUGCCAGCUGAAUGGUCACUCUUUAAGCAUAUCCAGCUGCUUUUUCUCACCCUGCACGGGCAACAGAGUGGUCACUUCUUGCAAGGAUAACCGCAUAAGGGUAUAUGACACGUCUUCCCUGAUGUCUGAACCCCCCCUGCUGAAGUCCAUCAGUUCCUAUGUUGGUCAUUGGGCACACGGUGAAGGAAGUAAAGUAAAGGACCAUUUGACCAUCAGUUCCAGACCUUAAUUUCGACUGAGGCACCACAAACACACUCCUAGAUAUUCUCCAAAAAACAGGGAGGUGGAACUGGCAGAGGGUCACUAAAACAGCGCCCCAGCCACAAUGAACCAGAGGAACGGCCGGCAGUCCAAGCCAUGAGUGCCUGCAGCCAGCGAAGAAGAGUCAGAUGGCGUCGGCGGGUGAAGUAAAGCAGCGACUGGCGGGGAGACGGACGUCCAAGGGUUGGCCACUACGACGAUACACGAGGAGGGAGUUGAGUGCAGGAUAUGUGCCUCUGCUUUUCCGGCCAAUAAGUUAGCAGUCAAUAUUGGUUCCCACAGAGUUUGGUGUCUGCCUGUAAGUAGAAAUGCAUUAAUUGUUUUACCACACCCCUGGCCACGUCCACUGUUCCACAAAUAGAUUACCAAUCUCUUGGAAACACUACAUAUGUUGAUUUAAAUUUUCUGUAAACUUUAAGAUGUGUUACUUGCAUCUGUUUUAAGUUAAUUUCUUCGAAACAGAUUUUAAUAUUUAGGCUGAAAUGUUAAAAAUAUAAUAAUUCCAAUGACAUUUAGUACAAAUUGCUAAACUGUAUUUGUAUUAUUUUAACUGGCAUGAGGCUGAUAAGGAGAGUUACAUGUUCUCAUUCAGAAGGCAGAGAUCCCAAAAACCUUGAAAGCACCUGCUGGUCAACACUACUAAAUUACUUUAUACACUUUAUUUUUGUACUCUUAUCUCUUUGGUUUUAGUCUGUUGGGUAACAUUUGUAGGUUGUUGAACCAAACAGAUUUUUGGGAAUCCAGAGUUUGUCUGCAAGAUGCCAUUUUGGACAGUGGACUCUGUUUUCAUUACAAUUUGGUCACUUUUAUUUGCUCAUUACUUUGGAUAAAACUACUUUCAAUAUCAAGUUACUUACUGACCUCUUGAAAGGCCAAAUAAUGAACUCAAGAAAUUCAGCGGUAAGUUUAUGAGAAGUCAAAUGCCAUUUUAGUUUGCUAAAAUGAGCAGCUAAUACAAGCUAGCCUUGUAAAGUUCAUUAUGGAACUUAAUACAUAAACAUGUACUUUUUAUUAGUUUUGAAAUGUAUUGACGAAAUAAGGCUUAUUGUUGUUUUGUAAACCAUAAAAUGAAAAAAAUAUAAUAGAAAUAUUUACUAUUAAUGAUAGCUGAUGGCAAGUUCAGGACGCAAAUGCGUUACUGUAGAAAUUUGACAAAAACAACAAAAGCUGUAAAAAAAACCCAAAAACUUUUAAAGUGUUAUCUGAAUGGGGGGUAGGGGAGAUCUCAGCUGUUAUUAAGCUCCUUAUGCAUUAAAAAAGCUAAAUGUAUUGCAUGCAUAAGUUGUAUGGUCUAUGACGUCUUAUCUGGAAUCCGUGUUAUCUGGAAGUAAGUAUUUCUUUCUAUAAACUAGAAAAAAGAAGUAUGAAUUUAUCUAUGUAAGAAAGGUAAUUUUAAUAGUGGCUUUUGACAAACAGCAGCACAUUUUCAGAUCUGCCAAUCUUGAAGACAUUUUAUGAGUAUUUUUUCUUGUUACAUAAUGACUUUGACUUUAUAAUUUUUUGAAGUCUGAUUUUAUAUCUACAAUAUGCUGUGGGCCAAUAAAGAUAAAGCCACAGUCAGCUGAUGGCAUCGAGGCCGCAUUUUGAACACUCCCGCUUUUAUCUUCAUCAGCGUUGUGUGUGAAUUUACAUCUGAGAUCAACUUAUAACCUGGUUAACUAUUUAGCUCAUCAGCUUCCUUCGACGCGAGAAAAACGAUGGUAAUUAAAAAGACUGAACUCCAAAUUCAAACAGGCCAAAUGCAAGAAAAUGCGUACCUAUAAGCAACAAGGCGUACUAGUGUAUGGUCUUCCUUUUCUUUUAUUGUGUCCCAUAGUGGCAACCACAUGGACAGUCUUCUCCUGUCGAGACCUUUGUCCUCUGCUUCCUUUUCCUUUUGCUGUGUAACACACAGGCUUCAGAGUUCAGACUUACUUUUUAUUGUCAUUCAAAUUUGAACUUUACAGCACAGAUAAGAACGAAAUUUCGUUACAUAAGCUCAUGGUAGUGCAGGAUAAAAAAAAAAGCAAUAAGGUGCAUAUAUAAUUAAAUACAUAUAUGUAUAAAAUAAAUAUAUAACAAUAUAUACAAAUAAAUAAAUAAAUUACUAUAGAGAUAAAUAUAUUGCACUUUUUCACAUGUGUCCACGUUAUGGAACGUAUGUUAUAUUGUCUUUUUUAUUCCAGCGAAUUAAUCCAUUUUGGGGGGAGUUGAGGGGAUAAUUUAAUUAUGAUGGGUUCAAGAGUCUUACGGCCUGAGGGAAGAAGCUGUUACAGAACCUGGAGGUUCUGCUUCGGACCCUCUUUCUCGAGUCCAGCAGUGAAAACAGUCCUUGGUGGGGGUGGGAGGAGUCUUUGCAGAUUUUCUGAGCCCUGGUCAGGCAGCGGCUUUUUGCGAUCUCCUGGAUAGGAGAAAGAGGAGUCCUGAUGAUCUUUUCCGCCGUCCUCACCACUCUCUGGAGAAACUUCCAGUCUGAGGCAUUGCAGGCACUAGUCAAGAAAGAGAUGCUGUUGGUCAGCAGGCUCUCUAUAGUGCCUCUGUAGAAUGUGGUGAGAAUAGGGGGAGGGAGCUGUGCUCUUUUCAUCGGACGCAAAAAGUGCAUGCGCUGCUGAGCUCUUUUUACAAGAGCUCUGGUGUGUAGAGACCAGGUUAUAUUGUCAAGUUAUCUGCACCCCCAGGAACUUGGUGUUGCUUACCAUCCCCACCGCUGUGCCGUUGAUGUAGAGUGGAGCGUGGCUGGACUGGUGCUUCCUGAAGUCAACGAUGAUCUCUUUGGUCUUGUUGACAUUCAGGACCAGUCAACCAGAUGUUUUACCUCCUCCCUGUAGUCCAUGUCAAUGUUGUCACGGAUGAGGCCCACCACUGUCGUGUCGUCCACAUACUCACAAUGUGGUUAGUAGUGGACCUGGCGCAGCAGUCAUGAGUCAUCAACGUGAACAGCAGCGGACUCAGGACGCAGCCCUGGGACGAGCCGGUGCUCAGGCAGAUGGCACUGCAGGUGUUGUUGCCGACACUAUCACAGACUGGAGUCCGUCUGUGACGAAGUCAAGCAG